UACGUAGGGUGCAAGCGUUAAUCGGAAUUACUGGGCGUAAAGCGUGCGCAGGCGGUUCGCUAAGACAGAUGUGAAAUCCCCGGGCUUAACCUGGGAACUGCAUUUGUGACUGGCGGGCUAGAGUAUGGCAGAGGGGGGUAGAAUUCCACGUGUAGCAGUGAAAUGCGUAGAGAUGUGGAGGAACACCAAAGGCGAAGGCAGUGUCCUGGGGAGUACCUGACGCUCAGGUGCGAAAGCCAGGGGAGCGAACGGG
rnacentral:rRNA from 1 species